UACAGAGGGUGCAAGCGUUGUUCGGAAUUAUUGGGCGUAAAGCGUGCGUAGGCGGACAACUAAGUCUGAUGUGAAAUCCCUUGGCUUAACUGAGGAGCUGCAUUGGAUACUGGUUGUCUUGAGUCUUGGAGAGGAUAGCGGAAUUCCCAGUGUAGAGGUGAAAUUCGUAGAUAUUGGGAGGAACACCAGUGGCGCAAGCGGCUAUCUGGACAAUGACUGACGCUGAGGCACGAAAGCAUAGGGAGCAAACAGG
rnacentral:rRNA from 1 species